UAGGGAAUCUUCCACAAUGGGCGAAAGCCUGAUGGAGCAACGCCGCGUGGGUGACGAAGGUCUUCGGAUCGUAAAACCCUGUUGUUAGAGAAGAACGUGCGUGAGAGUAACUGUUCACGCAGUGACGGUAUCCAACCAGAAAGUCCCGGCUAACUACGUGCCAGCAGUCGCGGUAAUACGUAGGUGGCAAGCGUUAUCCGGAUUUAUUGGGCGUAAAGCGAGCGCAGGCGGUUGCUUAGGUCUGAUGUGAAAGCCUUCGGCUUAACCGAAGAAGUGCAUCGGAAACCGGGCGACUUGAGUGCAGAAGAGGACAGUGGAACUCCAUGUGUAGCGGUGAAAUGCGUAGAUAUAUGGAAGAACACCAGUGGCGAAAGCGGCUCUCUGGUCUGUAACUGACGCUGAGGUUCGAAAGCGUGGGUAGCAAACAGG
rnacentral:rRNA from 1 species